rnacentral:rRNA from 1 species
UUCCGUAGGUGAACCUGCGGAAGGAUCAUUAAAUAAUCAAUAAUCUUGGCUUGUCCAUUAUUAUCUAUUUACUGUGAACUGUAUUAUUAUUUGACGUUUGAGGGAUGUUCCAAUGUUAUAAGGAUAGACAUUGGAGAUGUUAACCGAGUCAUAAUCAGGUUUAGGCCUGGUAUCCUAUUAUUAUUUACCAAAUGAAUUCAGAAUUAAUAUUGUAACAUAGACCUAAAAAAUCUAUAAAACAACUUUUAACAACGGAUCUCUUGGUUCUCGCAUCGAUGAAGAACGUAGCAAAGUGCGAUAACUAGUGUGAAUUGCAUAUUCAGUGAAUCAUCGAGUCUUUGAACGCAACUUGCGCUCAUUGGUAUUCCAAUGAGCACGCCUGUUUCAGUAUCAAAACAAACCCUCUAUCCAACUUUUGUUGUAUAGGAUUAUUGGGGGCCUCUCGAUCUGUAUAGAUCUUGAAACCCUUGAAAUUUACUAAGGCCUGAACUUGUUUAAUGCCUGAACUUUUUUUUAAUAUAAAGGAAAGCUCUUGUAAUUGACUUUGAUGGGGCCUCCCAAAUAAAUCUUUUUUAAAUUUGAUCUGAAAUCAGGUGGGAUUACCCGCUGAACUUAAGCAUAUCAAUAAGCGGAGGA